rnacentral:rRNA from 1 species
GGACUACAAGGGUAUCUAAUCCUGUUCGCUCCCCACGCUUUCGCUCCUCAGCGUCAGUACCGGCCCAGACCACCGCCUUCGCCACCGGUGUUCCUCCUGAUAUCUGCGCAUUUCACCGCUACACCAGGAAUUCCAUGGUCCCCUACCGGACUCUAGCCAUAGCAGUAUCGGGUGGCGUCUCCAGGUUGAGCCUGGAGGUUUCACACCCGACUUGCCAAGCCGCCUACGAGCUCUUUACGCCCAAUGAAUCCGGACAACGCUCGCCCCCUACGUAUUACCGCGGCUGCUGGCCAC